UCGAGUGCCCUAACCUAAGCAAUCUCAGAUUGCUCUGGAAGGGAGGGGGAGAGAGAGGGAGAGAGAGAGAGAGCGGAAGGGGCGAGAAUGAGAGCACCAAUGAGAGGCGCAGCAAGAGAAGCAAUGAAUUCGAGGAACAUAAUGAUCAGAAGAAGAAGAAGAAAUGGAAGAGAACGAUGGCAGGGUGCAAAAGAAGGGGGGCAAAUGGCCCGAGUAGGGUUUUUCCUGAUGGGAAGGCCUCGUCGUUGAUGUCUUGGGGCAAAUCUUUGUACGCUUGGAUAUAAUCGACUUGGUCUGCACCAAUGCCUUGGUGUGCCGCUCAUGCGCGCCACGACCUAUUAUUCAUUACAGAAGUAGAGCACCUUGGAUUUCGGAGCGACCGUGUGCGUUUUUGAUUGCAGAUAGAGGUGGUUUCUGUGUACUUGUUGUGCACCAUUGACUAGGUUUGCCGCUCAUCUGCGCUACGCCCUAUAGUUCGUCACAGGAGGAGAGAAUACCUUGGAUUUCGGAGCGAUCUAGUGCGGUGUUUGUCCCUAGUGAUAUUGAUUGCAGAAAGGGGGAGUUGAUCAAGGUACUUCGAGGUGUGAUGGCUUGUAUAUGUGCAAGACGAUGAAGGGUUUCAGAUGUGAAAUGAAGAAGCAGAAAAUACCAAAAGAGAAAACGAGAAAGAGAAGUUCUGGAAAUACCUCGAUCAAUGAAUUAAUCAAAUGAAAUCAGGCAUAGUUGAACUAUUUAUAUCCAGCUAUCUUUUAACAGUGAACCGACUAAUCAACGUAGCUAUUUAAACUAACACUUCCCUAAAUACAACAAACAGCAUAGCAAACAAUAUAACUAAUUACAACAGUUAAUGGUACUAAUCAACAUCAAUCUCUUCAACAUUCUCAGAGUUAGAAUAGAUAGUCUUUGUCUUGUUCGACGCUGCUGAUACAUGAGAGUAUAUUGGAGAUAAUUUGAGUCCAAGUUUUGUUAACCUUAGGACUCUUUAGAUUAUACCCUUAGGCGAGAAAAACCUCUCAUAAACCCUCUCCAACACUCACGGAUGCAGUGUAAUUAUAAGAAUAAGAAAAAAUGAACAACAGAAAGAAAUUAAUAGAAUUGAAAAGGUCAAACCAUGAAGGAAACAUAACAGAUUUAUCCUAGUUCAAGCCAAUUUAAUUGGCUCUACAUCCAGCAGUCCAACACCCCAAUCGAGCAGCUUUAAUUAAGAAAAAACUUAUCAGUACAAAACCCAAGCUCUCUCUCAAUCCUAUCGCUCAAGUACAAUCCCUUGUUCACUCUAAAAAAGUUCAAGAACUUAAUACACAAGCCUCACUUUCUCUAAAACAAAAAUACUCACAAUAGUAACCGAGAACUUGACAAGAGAGAAGAUGAUCCUAGACUGCCGUCUUGCCCUCUUAUUUAUAGAGAAGGCAUAACCCCUUUAAAACUAACAGCUAUAGGGAAUUUACAAUUAGACCCCCAAAGUUUACACUAAUUACACUUUGGCUUAAAAAACCCUAAUUGUCUAAUAGUUUCCAACCAAUAGCCAUCAACGCUCCCACUGAUCUUCCAAUCAAAAAACUCUAGGCAAACCUCAACAAGUUUGCUACAUGAGAAUGACAACAUGUCCCUUGAUAGUCAUUUGGUAAAGAUGUCUGCCACUUGAUGUAGAGUAGGAACAUAUCGAAUUUCAAUAUCUCCAUUUUCCACCUUUUCCCAAACAAAGUGCACAUCUAUUUCAAUAUGCUUGGUAUGUGAAUGAAACACCGAAUUUUUUGUUAUACUCUUUGCUGCUAGAUUAUCACACCAUAAGAUCGGAACAUGGACUAAUGGAUAUCCCAGUUCAAAAAAUAAAGAUUUUAACCACAUGAUUUCAGUCACUCCUUGUGCAACUGCACAAUACUCUGCUUCUCCCACAAAACGGGCCACCACAGACUAUUUUCUAGAACUCCAAACCAAUGAAUUUUGCCCAAGAAAUACACAUAAGCUACUAGUAGAUCUCCUGGUUACUUUGCAACCAGGAUGAUUUGCAUUAGUGUAAACUAUUAGGGACAACUCAUUAGAGAUAGGUGCAAACAGCAAACCCAGACGUAUUGUGCCCUUGAGAUAUCAAAGUAACCGUUUACAAGCCAUUCAAUGUAGCACCUUAGGAGAAGACAAAAACUGGCUCAAUUUAUUAACCACGAAUGCUAUAUUUGGUCGGGUAUAGGUCAAGUAUUGAAGAGAACUAAUUAUGGUUCUAUAGAGUGAGGGAUAAGAAAAAUCAUCUUCUUCAUUAGUUAAUGAAAUGCGCAUAUUCACUAGUGUCUCACAAGGCUUGCAAUUUUGCAUUCCCGCCUUUUUCAACAAAUCCAAUGUGCAUUUGGAUUGAGUAAGAUAUAUGCCACUAGCAUCUCUAUGAGCCUCAAAAUCGAGGAAAUAAUUUAACCUAAGGUUUUGAGGGCAAAAUAAGUGUCCAAAUCAUUAAUACAUGCCUUAAGAGCAAUAGGAUCAUACCCUUUGAUAAAAAUAUCAUCAACAUACACCAAUAUGAACAAUACAGCUUUAGUGGUGCGAUGGCAGUGGCGGGAAUGGAGGAUCGACGGUGAGUGGGGGGGUCGACGAGUGCGAUGGCGAUGAGGGGGGCUAGGAGGGAUGACCACGGGUGGGGGUUUGGCAGGUGCGACGACCACCCACUCCCUCUCCAUCUCCCCCUCUAUUGCACCCUCUCUCCUACUCCCUCACUCACUGCCUCUCUCUUUCUUUCUCUCACAAACCCACCCACCCACCUAUGCCAUCGGCAGGUGCGACAGCGUGAGGCGGGUGGGAGGGACGACGGCGGAUGGGGGCGAGGCCUUGCGAGGGCUGGCAGGGGGGCGAUGGCAAUUUGAGAUGACUCGCAAGGGUCCCCGGUGGUGGUUGGUAUGUAUUAUUUGAUAUUUAAUUUUUAAAUUAAUUUGUUCUGAUUAUAGAACACUUACUGAUGUGUUUUAUUAUAUAGAUUUAGUAAUUUUUUUUCUUUUUAUUAUAAAACGUUAACAAGUAUAUAAUAACUUUAAUUUCUAUUUUUUGUUCAGUGUUUACAAUUUUUUUUUGCAAUAUUAGUGAAUAUUAUUGUAUUUUAAUCUUAAUAUUAUUUACACUGUGCCUUUAGGCACAGGUAUACGCUAGUGCAUUAAUAUAUUAUCAAGAAUUAAUUACACACAAAUAUGUUAAAGUCUUGUCUCGAAAGAUAAGAAGAUCAGUGAAAGCAAUGCAUUUGAGGGUCAAUGAAGAAUUAAAUAAGAGUUUAUAUUCCAAUCUGUAAUUAGUGAUAGUUGGGGGGGUUGAACUGUAAAUAUGUUUCUGUCCUCAUUGGGAUGUUUGCCCUAUUCUAUAAAUAGAGGGUAAGGGGUAGCCAGGUGAGAGGGAAUUUCUUAUUCUAUUGUGUCGAGUGGAUAUUCAUUCUAAGAGAAAGGCUAGUGAGUAAGAUAGCUUUAUAAUCUUGAGGAAUGAGUGUUGGAUAUACUCGAGAAUAGGAGAAAUUACUCAUGCUGUCGUAGUGAUCGGUUUCUGAAUAAGAUAAAGGCUGCUCUCGAGGAGAUUUGAAGGCCGGAUGUAGGGUUGCAACUGGUGCAAUCCGAACCAAGAUAAUCUUGGCGUUUCUUGUGAUUGUUUGGUUUGUGUGCAGUCUUACUCUUUUAAUUCUGUUUUUCUGUUCUUGUUUUUCAUUCUUUUAUUUCUAUUGUUUUGGUUUAAUUUUGGGUGAGGAGUUGAGAGAAUUGGCACUUGUAAUCAUUGUUUGAGUUAUCAAAAGAGCUCCUAAUCAUAACAAAAUAACUUUUCUCUUUUGUGUUAUCCCGCUAAAACCCAUUUAACUCUUAAUGGUGUUUUGAUUAACCUUUAACUCUUAAUGAUGGAAGAACAGUGUUCCAAUUUUUAUAGCAAAAUAAAGAGGACAGUUUUGGUUCGGGUUUUAGAGGAACGGUUCCAGUUCAGUUCGAAUCGUGGUCGGCUCUAUGCAUAGGACCCAAUGGCUGACCUAGAACAGAUGGCUAUGACCACUUCUGAUUUGGGGCUAGGGAAGGCCCAAUGAAGGAGGCUGCAAGGUGCAGCCAGGCUUGCUGCAGCAGGCAGGGCAGCAUGAGUUCUACUGGGAGCAUAAGCCAGCCUGUGUAGGGGUUCUUGUUGGGUGGCUUUUGGACCUCUAAUGGACUAUCAGGAAACCUAGCUGUACAACUUUCCAAGGCCUCUCGGUGGCAAUGCCACAGGCUGCUCUUACCCAAAGGCAUACUGUAGGAGCUGCACAGAAAGAUGUGACCAUCAGCAGUGGGUUGCUGCCACCCAGCUGGUGCAAACACCAAAGAGCAGUCCCGCUUGAGGCUGAAACAGGUUUUUGCUAUACUGAGGUGCUGACAACAAAGCCAAGGUUUUUGGAGAGGAAUUAAGGAGCUGGCAAUGGCUGGAAGGGACAAGGACGUGCAGCAAAGGCUGCAGCACCCCUGCAGUGCACCAUGGCUAGUCCCAGUCUUGCACUGGUCCUGGCCAUGGGCUGAGUGCACCAAAUUGAAGUGGGGCAUUCCUAGUGUUAGGAGGACCAAGAAUAUGGGGAUUUCAAGGAUCUUGUACCAUAGCUGAGCAAAGAUAAGGUAUGAUCUUGGGUUUUAAAAUUGGAAGCAAUUAGGGAAUAAGGAACUGGAAUUGCCCUAGGGCCGUGACCAGCUCGUGGUGUCAAAAUGCCACCUACUUGGUGGCAUUGCCAUGGAGGUGUAAGUUUGUUCAGAUACUAGUACUACCCUAAGGCCAUGACAAGCUUGCAGUCUCAGGCUUGGGCUGUUGUCUUGAUAUGCUACCAAGAGGUUUGUGGUCUUCAAAUUCACCAGAUUUGAUAGAAACAAAUGCAAUUCCAAGGAGAAUUUUAUCUGGUUAGUUGAGUUUUAGACAUGACAUAGGAUGUAAUGGCUUUGGCGGAGGAUGGAGACCUAGAGUUCUUGUAGCCCACCCCACCUAGCUUGUGAUUGUUGUUACUUGAAUCAUGAUUCUGUAGGCUCUUAGAGAGAAGCAUCCAACUGAAAGUGCAGUAUAAAUGUGGGAGCUCAUUCUCUUAACCCAAGUUUGCUUGGUCAUCUUCCUUUUGUUAUAAAGGUAAUGAUGUUGACGGGAAUACAUGUCAAAACUUGCUUUAUUAGUCCCGUGAAACUGUUAAUCUGGUACUGCCUAGUGACAAACACUCUUCCUUCUCUAAAUGGCCUGCAAUAGGUUAAAUGUUCAACGAUAAAUUGAAGACCCUAAUUCCUGACUUUAGAAAAGAGUUAUUCUAAAACUAGUAAUUAUUCUAUUGAAAUUAUAAUUGUAGCCUUUUUAUUUAAUGUACACGGUCACUCCUAUGGCUUAAGUGAAUAUAUGCAGAAAUUAAGAAUAUUUCAUAUGCGACCAUUUUCACAUUAGAUAUCCUUAAUAAUUUAUAUCCAGGAAUGAGGGUUAUCUUUGUGGUUUUGAUUGCUGUCUUUAACAGGGUCAUCCCACAUGUGAAGCCUUUACUUUUAGUGAUCGCUUGUGUACUCAAAGCAGUCAAACGUGCUUUAUUUUGCUGGUCUUUAUUUAUUUUCACUUGGAUCUUCAUCAUGAUUCUACAGGCUCUUAGGGUAUAUAUUGAAAAAAGAGUGGUAUAAAUGUGGAUUGACCUCACUGGCGGCAUAAAUCUGAUUUGUAGAAGUUUAGGAGGAAAAAGAAAUGUCUAAUAUGCUGUACUGGUUUCAUAUUUGAGCAAGCUACAAGGCAUGACCUGUUGAUGUGGUGGAAGCAAGCAUUUCUUUCCACUUGUUAUCCGGUUCUCCUUCUGGCUUUGCUACACAGGAGCUGCUGUUUCCUUAUUCAGAAGUGAAAAGCAGGCAACUUCAUUCCAGAAAUAGUCGACUAUCAAUUUUUUAGGCGAUGGGUUGACUAUGCUCAGUUUCUUCCUCCACUCCACCCGCUAAUACCCUCAUCAGAAAGCUAAAAAAUAUUCACUCAAACAAAAUGUAACUAGUCUAUAUUAUUUCAAAAAUUGCAACCGGGAAAAAGAAUUAUUUGGAGAAGUCCUGACGGGGAACAUGUUCACGUAAUCAUCUAAAGCGUCAUAGCUUGAUAAUCCCCAGUUAAAUUAGAAUGUUUAAUACGUCCAUAAUCAUCAAACUCGGCUGAUUACCUGAAAGCAGGGAAAUACUAUUGGCUAUGAUUUUGGAUUGCAUAUUAUAUAAAAAUGUUUUCUGAAACCGUUUUUCAGAGCCUUUAGAAAACAUUGUUCUCUGUAUGGGCCCAACCUUCUGGGCAGGGACAAUUUGCAGCCCAAAUUCUUGCGCCUGCUAGUUUGGCGGCGCACUUAUCUGGGACUCUUUAAGACAUCGACUGUUCUUCGGCCCUUUGUUAAGGGCUACUGUUUGGGCCUAGCAAAACUUGCUGCCAAAACUCAACAGCCUGAGCUUUUAGGCCCGUUUGUGAGCAUUUGGAAAAAAUUAUUUGCAGUAUGGGCCCAUUUGUGUGGCCCCUAAGAUUUCUGGCCCAUUUAUCUGGGUCAUUGCGUGCUGUACAGGCCCAUGCCUCUACCCACGGUACGGGCCCAUGACUGCUGUACGGGCCUGAAAAUAUUUUGGCCCAUUCAUGGGCAGUUUUUGGUCGUAUUUAUGAUCGCCUCUUUUAAAAAUUGUUUGCUUAUUGGAGCGCAAAUUUGUUGCGGCCCGAUUAUCUUGGCCAUAUUAGGCUGUAUUGGCCCAUUCCUCUGGCCCAAUGUCUGGGCCUGACAAGAUUUGAGGCCCAAAUCGACGAGGACCUAAACGGUAGGACUGAAAAAUUUGGCGGCCAUUCGAUUGGUACGGGCACACACAAUUUGCGACAAGGGCCUGACUUUUGUCCCAAUAACAUUAGCAUGGCAAAAUUUUUAGGAAAAUAUUACGAGCCUGAAAUUAUUGCGGUCGAAGUAUCUGGGCCUUCACAUUUUGAAGGCCGCUA